UGAGGUUCCUGUAGCAGCUUGCA
rnacentral:misc_RNA from 1 species